rnacentral:misc_RNA from 1 species
GAUGAAGAACGCAGCGAAAUGCGAUAAGUAAUGUGAAUUGCAGAAUUCAGUGAAUCAUCGAAUCUUUGAACGCACAUUGCGCCCGCCAGUAUUCUGGCGGGCAUGCCUGUCUGAGCGUCAGUUCAACCCUCAUGCCCCUAGGGCGUGGUGUUGGGGAUCGGCCAAAGCCCGCGAGGGACGGCCGGCCCCUAAAUCUAGUGGCGGACCCGUCGUGGCCUCCUCUGCGAAGUAGUGAUAUUCCGCAUCGGAGAGCGAUGAGCCCCUGCCGUUAAACCCCCAACUUUCCAAGGUUGACCUCAGAUCAGGUAGGAAUACCCGCUGAACUUAAGCAUAUCAAUAAGCGGAGGA